rnacentral:rRNA from 1 species
GCCUACGGCCACACCACCCUAACAGUGCACAAUCUCGUCUGAUCUCAGAAACCAAGCAUGGCUGUGCAUGUUUAGUACCUGGAUGGGUGACCGCUUCGGAAUACCAGGUGUUGUAGGCU